rnacentral:rRNA from 1 species
ACCUACGGGUUUCCUCAGUUUUUAAUAUUUCACAAUUUUUUCAACCCUUAUGCAGCAACGCCGCGUGAGUGAUGACGGCCUUCGGGUUGUAAAGCUCUGUCUUCAGGGACGAUAAUGACAGUACCUGAGGAGGAAGCCACGGCUAACUACGUGCCAGCAGCCGCGGUAAUACGUAGGUGGCGAGCGUUGUCCGGAUUUACUGGGCGUAAAGGGAGCGUAGGCGGAUUUUUAAGUGAGAUGUGAAAUACUCGGGCUCAACUUGAGUGCUGCAUUUCAAACUGGAAGUCUAGAGUGCAGGAGAGGAG